GUAGGGAAUAUUGCGCAAUGGACGAAAGUCUGACGCAGCGACGCAGCGUGAGUGAUGAAGGCCUUAGGGUCGUAAAGCUCUGUUGAAUGGGAAGAAAAAAAUGACGGUACCAUUCGAGGAAGGACCGGCUAACUUCGUGCCAGCAGCCGCGGUAAUACGAGGGGUCCUAGCGUUGUUCGGAAUCAUUGGGCGUAAAGGGUGUGUAGGUGGCCAUGUAAGUCAGGUGUGAAAGCCCCGGGCUCAACCCGGGAAGUGCACUUGAUACUGCGUGGCUUGAGUACCGAAGAGGGUAGUGGAAUUCCAGGUGUAGUGGUGAAAUACGUAGAUAUCUGGAGGAACACCGGUGGCGAAGGCGGCUACCUGGUCGAGUACUGACACUGAGACACGAAAGCAUGGGGAUCAAACAGGAUUAGAAACCCCAGUAGUCC
rnacentral:rRNA from 1 species